rnacentral:rRNA from 1 species
GCUCCAAUAGCGUAUAUUAAAGUUGUUGCGGUUAAAAAGCUCGUAGUUGGAUUUCUGCCGAGGACGACCGGUCCGCCUCUGGGUGAGCAUCUGGCUCGGCCUGGGCAUCUUCUUGGAGAACGUAUCUGCACUUGACUGUGUGGUGCGGUAUUCAGGACUUACUUGAGGAAAUUAGAGUGUUUCAAGCAGCAUACGCCUUG